CGCGCCUAACACAUGCAAGUCGAACGGAGAUCAUUUGGUAGAAGUUUUCGGAUGGACACCGGGUGAUCUUAGUGGCGAACGGGUGAGUAACGCGUGAGCAAUCUGCCUCAGAGUGGGGGACAACAGUUGGAAACGACUGCUAAUACCGCAUAAGCCCACAGCACCGCAUGGUGCAGGGGGAAAAGAUUUAUUGCUUUGAGAUGAGCUCGCGUCCAAUUAGCUAGUUGGUGAGGUAACGGCCCACCAAGGCGACGAUUGGUAGCCGGACUGGGAGGUUGAACGGCCACAUUGGGACUGAGAUACGGCCCAGACUCCUACGGGAGGCAGCAGUGGGGAAUAUUGCACAAUGGGGGGAACCCUGAUGCAGCGACGCCGCGUGGAGGAAGAAGGUCUUCGGAUUGUAAACUCCUGUUGUUAGGGACGAUAAUGACGGUACCUAACAAGGAAGCACCGGCUAACUACGUGCCAGCCGCCGCAGUAA
rnacentral:rRNA from 1 species